rnacentral:rRNA from 1 species
UACGUAGGUGGCAAGCGUUGUCCGGAUUUACUGGGCGUAAAGAGCGCGCAGGCGGUCGUUCAAGUCGCGUGUGAAAGCCCCCGGCUCAACUGGGGAGGGUCACGCGAUACUGAUCGACUCGAAGGCAGGAGAGGGUAGUGGAAUUCCCGGUGUAGUGGUGAAAUGCGUAGAUAUCGGGAGGAACACCAGUGGCGAAGGCGCUCUGCUAGGCCGUAACUGACACUGAGGGGCGAAAGCUAGGGGAGCGAAUGGG